CACCCUGCUGGCCGAACUCCCACCUUCCCGACGGUCGUGGCCUGAGUCGGUUACUCCUCCGAAUGCCUUCCCGCCGCGCCCCUGUUCUGGCUUCUCUGCCACGAUUCCUCGCCAUAAGUUGUCUUGCCCCUGAAGCGGUGGCUGUGGCAGGUGGGCGCGGCGUCAUAUCAGCGCGUCGAGAGGUCAGACAGGUGGCCAUUGUCGUCCGUGCUAAUCUGCGAAGGAAACGGCGACGGUCCGUCACUGGCUGCAGCGGAGGUGGACACGGCGAAGGCCAGAGGUUCUUCCCUCGCGUCCGUCUGUUGCAGACGCUGGAUGGCUGCCAUCGGUCGCGCAAAACCUCUGUAUGUUGCUAUGGAUGACGCUCCCCCCACUCAUCUCUUUAAUUUUCCAGUCUUUUAUUCUCUCUUUUCAGUCCAUUGAAUUCAAGAAUCCAUGGUCUAAGUUAGGAAAUCCCCUUGUCUGGUCGCUGAGGAGUAGGCUGCAACUGCCUUGGCAAACGACGCCACUGUCGCGUGGCGCCGGGAGCCAGCGUGGACAUGCAGAGCUUCCUGUGGUAAGAAUUAGUACUCAAGUAGUUGCUUAAAUUAAUGACAAGGAAACUGCAUUCUGCUUGGAAUGUUCAGGCAAAAUCACUUAUAAUGGUGCAUGUCUGGUUUAAAUAUAUGCUCUUCUGGAGCAAGGUAAAGUGUUAUGGAUAGUUCAUCUUUGUCUGGAUACAGAUGUUUAACUUAUAAUUCACACAAAAAAGUAACUUAGUUAGAUGGUGACCAUUGCCGGUUAAGACUGGACAAUUUGUUUUUAUGUGUUUGCCUAUUGGUUCAUGUCCUGGAUCAUGGAAAUUAAAUCCAGCGAUUGCUCCUUGCAUAAUUAUAAUGGGAUAAUCCUAACUGUGGCUGAAUUUUUUCACCAUCUUUAUUGCAUUUCUGACAUGGAAAAUUCAGUAUUUUAGAGCUUUAGAGAUCAACAAGAAGCUCAGGGCUAAAAACACUCAAGACAUCUACUGUAUGCCUGUUGAGAGAUCUACUUUGCUUCUUUUGCAUAGCAGGUUUCUGUUGCUGUCGUUGUCAUAAAGAAUUGCUAGAGCAGAGGUACCUUCAACGGUCACCGCCCACAGCGAUCGAAAGAUCCGGAGGCCUCCGAAGAUUGAAUGCGCUCCCAAGAAAGCAACCGAUAUAAGCAGUGCGUCCCCGUGCAGAAUGGAGGAAGUCAAAGUUGAAGAGAAAAAACAAAUAAUUGAGGAAAAUCAGACAUAGUUGUUGAAUGACAAUGAAGAUGUAACUAUAUUGAAAGAGGAUAUGAAAUGGGUUAAUUGUCAAAUGACAAAGAAGAUGAUUAGCUCGAGGGCAUGGCUUCCCCGACAGCUGCAGCACCGCCCAGGGCCGACAACAAGCAAAGAUUUGUGGUUAAUCUGGUCGUGUUUUGGAUUAAUUAAAUGAUUAUUAAUGGUGGAAGUAAGCUUGGGGUUUAUGGUGCCCAUAUCUUACAAUGAGCAAAUUUAUUGUAUGUAUACUCUACAGGCAUCAUUUGUUAUGGACUUCAAUAUAGUGUGGUGUUCAGGAUGUAUGCUUAGCAUGUCAUUUGUAAUGAUGGCUUAUUGAAGUAGACGACUCAGCUUGAUCUUGGCCUUUUGAAGUCUGCCUCAUUUUCUUGAUGAAAUCAUGUAACAGUUAGUGAUACGUCCAAGUGUUCUUUUGCUCAACUGAAAUAUUUAGUAACUUCAGUUCAAUUCUGAUUUGCCCCUAUGUGUUGUAGUAUAGUGAUACGUCUGCCUCAUUAGAUGUAUUUUUCUGUCCAUACAUAGUAUAGGGAUUUGCUAAUAAUUUUGGAGCAUGCUAAUUAAGCAUUUAUUUACUGCAUCCAUCCGAGUCUUUGGAAUACACUACUGUUCACUUAAUAAUUAAGAGUGCAACUUUGUUCUUGUGACAUCAUUCUACUAACUCCAUUAAUAACAUUUUUUUUCUAAAUCAACAAUGCAGUUUGUGCCCAUUUCAGGCCUUAGUCCAGUAUAUGAUAUUUGCUGAGGUUUUAGUCUGUUCACCCCCAGGUAAACCUCAUACCUAUCGACAUAAAUUCUCAAGAUUAGCAUGGCUCGAUGGUAAUAAUAUUGCUCAGCUACAAAUACUUGUUGUUUGUGUUUGGUGACAUGGUAAGGCAAUCAUCUAUCAGGCAUACAUAAUGUUUUCCAUGAAUGGCUUUUGGAAGUGUCCUCCUUAUAAUAGUCUACUAGAUACUAUUUUUCUUGAGGCUACAUGGCAAGUUGCCUGUUUCUAAAAGGUGCAAGAAAUCUGAGCUACAAUUUGGAUUGUGUGCCUUUAUGAGUACUAUGCUGCCACUACCCUAAUCUUACAGUUUUACCAACAUCAUAGCGGCCAAGCCCCUAUCAACUGGGAAACAUUUUUGGUCAUGUGCAUUAUGUCUUACUUGUUCGGUUAGCUUAUGUGGGAGGCGUAUACAUCUUGCUCCUUCCACUCUAGCAAUUUUAUUCGUGUGGGCUGUGGUUAAGGUUCAGCUUUCUGUCAUAUCUGUCAUGAUUAGUUAGCUGUGCGCUUUCUCCUAUUUUCCCCAACAUUCUUUUGUUCUCUGUUGUCCUGUUUCACAAAUGUGUACUUAUCUCUUUUCUUUUUCUCAAUUUAUUUAUCAUCCAACCGCUGCACAUUGUCAACACAUCUUCAAUCGUGGAAUGUUUAGUCAUAGGUACCUUCCUUAAAAUUCAGCGGUAUCAAUUAUACUCAGUUCAUUAAAUUGCUCCCUUUUUUACCCAAUAGCUGAUCCACAUUGUUCAUAUGCCUUAGUCGCACGAGUUUCAGAGAUAAGAAUGCUUCUAUAUCUUUGCCAAUGCCUAACAUGAUUUGUUAGCUGCAUCACUUCUAUAUUUUCCACAUUUUUCCCCUUCUCUCACUGGAAAUCCUAGAUACUUUUUUUCUUUUUGGAUGAUCCACAGAAAACUGUAAUGGAAGGUUUGGUUCCUGGUAAUAGAGUGGAACAAUUUAGAGAUCAACUGAAGGAAGGCUCUGUAUACACUAUCGCCAGAUUUGAUUUAUAUGAUCCAAAAAAGAGUUACCAGUCAGUGGACCAUCCUUUGAGAAUCUGUUUCACUAUGACGACUAAUAUAACGGAGGUCGUGCCACCGCCGGAGAAUUUUCCUAUGAUCGCCGACAAUGCUCUUCCUUUCAGCAUGUUUUCAGAUCGCAUCGAUCGAAAUAACGUAUUACCUGACAUUGUUGGAUCAGUGAACAAAGUUACAGAUAUACUGCCUCCAUCUGGGAAAGCUAAGAGUCAUAAAGGGCAAGUGUACAUCACAGAUGGCAGCGAACAUGCUAUUGUUACCUUAUGGGGUGAGCAAGCUGAUUUAUUUGAUGCUGAUGGAUUUUUGGAGGCAUCAAGUGAAGAACCUGUUAUCGUUUUAUUUGUUGGCAUGACAGUCAGUCAGUACUCAGGUGCCUUCAAAAGUACAUCCGUCACAAGGUGGCAUGUUAAUGUGCCAAUUCCAGAAAUAGCUGCUGCUCGAGAACGGUUUGUCUUCCGAUUAGUCAGCGCUCGCAAGAGGUCUAUUGCCAUUUGCUGUUUGUUUAGUAACGUGCGUGCCGUGCACAUGCUCCCAGUCAAAACAUUUACCAUGGCGUAUCGAGCUACAAAACGGAAACCAGAAUCGCGCUGAGCCAACUGUAUCAGCAAUCACAGAAAUAUCAACAUUCAAACCAAAUGAUAUAUGCUAUGCUCAGUUUUCAUACGUGGCCAGUAAGCUUUGAAGUGAUAUAAGAAAUUAUUGUUCACCAUGAGCAAAGCCCGCAAUUAUCUUCUAAGCGGCACUCACCGUUUAUUUGUUAUAUUAUAAUCAUGCUGCCAUAACAACAUGAAGAAGCGAGAGGGCAAAGAUGCUGGUUUGGUAGGUUGGCACGGUAUUAGUAUAGUAGAUCGACGUGCUCUUUAUUUACAUCAUUAUUCCACCCAAUGUGCAUACCAAAUGAAGUUAUAGACAAUUUUGAGAUGCUGUUGUGGUUGUGUCAGGACUUCUGAGGUCUGAAAUGUUGCUCAAGAUAUUUAGAUUAUCGUUUUACAAUCAAGUUAGAGAAAAUGAAGGAUAUAAAAGAUGACAAAACCUUCUAUAUUCUUACCAUUGAGACAAAAACAUGUUUCUCAAUUCUAUCAGCCUGUUGUUAGGACAUCAAUUUUAGUUAAUGCUUUUUUCGUUUGCACAACUCCAUGUGUUAUCACCGCAUAGAACCAUAAUAUUUACUUUACCAGUUCUAAAAAAUAAUCAUGCCCAGUUUAAAUGUACAUUUCCACUUUGAACUGCCUAUAUAUUCAGGUCUUCUGUGUAUACUAUACCAAUUACAUGUUCAGGUCUUCUGUGUUUCUGGGUUUCAUAUGAAAUUUAAUUUUAAAGAGCGUACAUAUACAAGGUUAAGGAUUAAUGUUUUCAUGCGUUUUAAUUAAAGCAUUGAAAACAAACUAAUAUGAAAUUAGUCAGUAAACUCAUGUACUUCUUCUGAAAUAUUAGUCUAGCAUUUUUUCGCGAAAACGCAAAAUCCUUGAGUUUCGAUGCAUUGAUAGAGAAAGAAGUUAUGUGUACAAGUCCAAAGAAGUUAUAUGAAAUUAGUCAGUGAACUCCUGUACUUCUGAAAUAUUUGCUCGCAUUCUCUUCGCUAUAAAUGUUGGUGCACAUGUUCAGGGUGUGCGCUACAAGAUAUCUGUUAGAAUCACUGAAGUUCUCACAUAAAAUGGGUGGUAUUAUAUAAACUGCACAGAAUGCUGGAAGAAAUUAACGUUAGAGGAUGGAGUUUACAAAUGUCCUCGGUGCCCUACAGCCUCUGCCAAGGUACAGAUUCAUUGUCCGAGCAGUUGACGCUGACUCAGCAGAUAUUCAGACUGCAAAAUUGGCUGACUUAUAUUUGUUGGGUCCCCGAGGAGCUAUUGUCCUUGGAAAAGAGAGGACAAUCCAACGCAGUGCCCCGGGAUUUGCUUGCUGUUGUGGAAAAAGAGUUCAAUGUCACUGUCACCCCAAGGCGUGAAUCAUUAGACUUGUUGUGCAGUCACCUUUAAAUGCAGAUUGCUGAACCAAUUAUCGAGGCCAAUGUAACCAUGCGACAAGGCAAGACUGAUCCUGCAGCAAGUCAAAACAAUGAGAGUCCCCCCAUUCCUCAAGCUCGAAACCAGGUUCAGGCACUGGUGAACCUUCAACUCUGCCGCCGUCUAUGAAUCCUACACCAUGAAGUGUACCAUCAUCAGGUUCUACAAUCGAUGAGGUAGACUUGGGUUGUCCUAAUAAAACAUCUUUCGUUGGCUUUCUGACGAAUCAUGUAUUCUUAUAAUUCCAGGUUGUCUCCAAUCAUCUAGAAGAACAAAACGCAAGAAUUUCGCGCCAGCA